AAACUGCCUGAUGGAGGGGGAUAACUACUGGAAACGGUAGCUAAUACCGCAUAACGUCGCAAGACCAAAGAGGGGGACCUUCGGGCCUCUUGCCAUCGGAUGUGCCCAGAUGGGAUUAGCUAGUAGGUGGGGUAACGGCUCACCUAGGCGACGAUCCCUAGCUGGUCUGAGAGGAUGACCAGCCACACUGGAACUGAGACACGGUCCAGACUCCUACGGGAGGCAGCAGUGGGGAAUAUUGCACAAUGGGCGCAAGCCUGAUGCAGCCAUGCCGCGUGUAUGAAGAAGGCCUUCGGGUUGUAAAGUACUUUCAGCGGGGAGGAAGGCGAUAAGGUUAAUAACCUUGUCGAUUGACGUUACCCGCAGAAGAAGCACCGGCUAACUCCGUGCCAGCAGCCGCGGUAAUACGGAGGGUGCAAGCGUUAAUCGGAAUUACUGGGCGUAAAGCGCACGCAGGCGGACUGUCAAGUCGGAUGUGAAAUCCCCGGGCUCAUCCUGGGAACUGCAUUCUAAACUGGC
rnacentral:rRNA from 1 species